rnacentral:misc_RNA from 1 species
UAAUGACCCAGAUAGAAAUCAUAUCGGGAUUGAUCUUAACAGCAUUGAAUCUAUUGUUACCCAAACGGCUGGGUAUUAUAGUUCUUCUGGUAAUGAUAGUGAUUCUUUUGUGCCUUUAAAUUUGCGGUCUGGGCAAAAUAUACAUGCUUGGAUUGAUUUUAAUGGACCUGAAUUUGAGAUUAAUGUUACUAUAGCUCCGGCGGGUAUGUCACGGCCUGCUAGGACUUUGUUGAGUUAUAGAAACCCCAUAAUUGCGAAUUACAUGUCUGCCCAGAUGUAUAUGGGGUUCUCUGCUUCAAAGACUCAAUGGGUUGAGGCGCAAAGACUUCUAGCUUGGAGUUUCAGUGAUUCUG